rnacentral:siRNA from 1 species
UAAGUUUGAGUGAAAUGGCCGGUC